GGCUGGUUAGCUCAGUCAGUUAGAGAGUGGUGCUGAUAACACCAAGGUUGCGGGUUCGAUCCCCGUUCGGACCC
rnacentral:tRNA from 1 species